GUUGUGUUUCAAAAUUAUUGAUAUAGUAUGACGGUAUUUCGAUCUGUUGGUUUAAAAACAUAAAGAGAUUUCAUAAAGAGAAUUUGUUGACAAUGUUAAUGUCACUAGUCAGAACGUGGACAUGCAGUCCGGGCGAAUUAUGCAUGAAUGGGAUACAAGCAGAGUUGCAACCAGGAAAUAUUGACUUGAUGUCACCAAUAUUGAGAUUGUGCAACAC
rnacentral:lncRNA from 1 species